rnacentral:rRNA from 1 species
UACGUAGGGUGCAAGCGUUAAUCGGAAUUACUGGGCGUAAAGCGUGCGCAGGCGGUUUUGUAAGUCUGUCGUGAAAUCCCCGGGCUUAACCUGGGAAUUGCGAUGGAGACUGCAAGGCUGGAGUCUGGCAGAGGGGGGUAGAAUUCCACGUGUAGCAGUGAAAUGCGUAGAGAUGUGGAGGAACACCGAUGGCGAAGGCAGCCUCCUGGGCCAGCACUGACGCUCAUGCACGAAAGCGUGGGGAGCAAACAGG